GUAGCACAGAGAGCUUGCUCUCGGGUGACGAGUGGCGGACGGGUGAGAAAUGUCUGGGAAACUGCCCGAUGGAGGGGGAUAACUACUGGAAACGGUAGCUAAUACCGCAUAACGUCGCAAGACCAAAGAGGGGGACCUUCGGGCCUCUUGCCAUCGGAUGUGCCCAGAUGGGAUUAGCUUGUAGGUGAGGUAACGGCUCACCUAGGCGACGAUCCCUAGCUGGUCUGAGAGGAUGACCAGCCACACUGGAACUGAGACACGGUCCAGACUCCUACGGGAGGCAGCAGUGGGGAAUAUUGCACAAUGGGCGCAAGCCUGAUGCAGCCAUGCCGCGUGUAUGAAGAAGGCCUUCGGGUUGUAAAGUACUUUCAGCGGGGAGGAAGGGAGUGAGGUUAAUAACCUCAUUCAUUGACGUUACCCGCAGAAGAAGCACCGGCUAACUCCGUGCCAGCAGCCGCGGUAAUACGGAGGGUGCAAGCGUUAAUCGGAAUUACUGGGCGUAAAGCGCACGCAGGCGGUCUGUCAAGUCGGAUGUGAAAUCCCCGGGCUCAACCUGGGAACUGCAUUCGAAACUGGCAGGCUGGAGUCUUGUAGAGGGGGGUAGAAUUCCAGGUGUAGCGGUGAAAUGCGUAGAGAUCUGGAGGAAUACCGGUGGCGAAGGCGGCCCCCUGGACAAAGACUGACGCUCAGUGCGAAAGCGUGGGGAGCAAACAGGAUUAG
rnacentral:rRNA from 1 species